rnacentral:rRNA from 1 species
AUUGAACGCUGGCGGCAGGCCUAACACAUGCAAGUCGAACGGUAACAGGAAGCAGCUUGCUGCUUUGCUGACGAGUGGCGGACUGGUGAGUAAUGUCUGGGAAACUGCCUGAUGGAGGGGGAUAACUACUGGAAACGGUAGCUAAUACCGCAUAACGUCGCAAGACCAAAGAGGGGGACCUUCGGGCCUCUUGCCAUCGGAUGUGCCCAGAUGGGAUUAGCUAGUAGGUGGGGUAACGGCUCACCUAGGCGACGAUCCCUAGCUGGUCUGAGAGGAUGACCAGCCACACUGGAACUGAGACACGGUCCAGACUCCUACGGGAGGCAGCAGUGGGGAAUAUUGCACAAUGGGCGCAAGCCUGAUGCAGCCAUGCCGCGUGUAUGAAGAAGGCCUUCGGGUUGUAAAGUACUUUCAGCGGGGAGGAAGGGAGUAAAGUUAAUACCUUUGCUCAUUGACGUUACCCGCAGAAGAAGCACCGGCUAACUCCGUG